CGUCUGGCUAGGUUAGAGGCCAGAGAGGGGUGAGGCACAGUCGCUUUGCUUCGCUCCUCCUCGCCGCCGGCAUCCCGCUCGUCCUCGACUCCGACUCCUCGUGCGCAUCGGGGCGGAAGGGAGCGGCGGCGCGAAUCGACGGAAGGAGACAGUUCCCCUUUCUCAUCCACCUCGCCUCGAUGCUUGAUUCCCCAAAUCCAGGUACUACCAACAAUUGACGAGAAUCCAUCUGCGGAUCUGCCCCUAUGCCAUUGCAGCACCGUCUCUUGCCGCGCGAUUAGCCAUCCCGCAAGGCCGUGACGCAGCCACCCCUGCAUCGGGAGUCGGGGCGCUCCCAUCUUCCUGUCGUGGGUAACACCCACAGAGCAGCUGUAUGCACUGAUGACUGACCGGCAAGCCAUGGCUAUGGGCAGCAGCGACGGUGACGUGCUGUAUGCCCGAUGCCUGGUCACACUGUACCUGCUCAGCCCGCUCAAUGUGUUCGCGCUCUGGUUCAUGUCGGCACCGUACGGGAAGCUGUCCCGCCCGGGGUGGGGUCCCACGGUGCCGGCAGCACUCGCCUGGUGCCUCAUGGAGAGCCCCACCCUCUGGCUCCCACCCCUUGUCCUCUCCGCCACCACCACCUCCUUGUCAACCCCGACGCUGCGCGUCACCAUCCUCCCGGCGGCGCUGUACAUGCUCCACUACGUGCACCGCACGCUCGUCCACCCACUCCGGCUUCUCCGCUUGCGCCGUGCCCCGGCGCCCAUGCCGAUCCUCAUCAUCAUGUUUGGCUUCAGCUUCAACCUCCUCAACGCCUACAUCCAGGCACGUUCUUGGGCGCUCGAUGCUGUGCCUCCAGCCACCGCCACGCCACUCACUGUUGCCCGCUGUCUCGUUGGGCUGGCCCUCUUCGUGUGGGGGAUGUGGACCAACAUUGCAGCAGACAGGGAGCUGCUGAGGCUCAAGGAGGCUGGCAAAGGGUACCAGAUUCCCAAGGACGGGCUGUUCGAUUUGGUCGCCUGCCCCAACUACUUCGGCGAGACCGUGGAGUGGCUUGGCUAUGCCCUGGUAGCAUGGACGCCUGCGGCCUGGGCCUUCUUCCUCUACACCUGCGUCAACCUCGGACCGAGGGCGAGAGACCAGCGCCUGUGGUACAUCAGCAAGUUCGGAGACAAGUACCCGGCGUCGCGCAAGGCGUUCAUCCCGUACAUCUACUAACUGCUUUCACUCACCACUUGUCCUCUGUUGCUGUACGUACCAUCCUGACUCUCCUGAGGAUACUGUUACUUCUAUUGAACAACCUGGAUUCACACAAUUGUCAUGCGCAUGCGGUUCCAUUGAUUGAAUGAAAUAAAAAUGAGUUGUGUUGUUCCUGUUUGUCCCACAUCUAUGUCUAGUUUUUGCCAAUUUUAUAUGAGGGACAGCAAGAUAGUCUCAUAAAGGAUGACUCAAAGUCUCAAACUACCUUGCUGUCACUGCAACUCAAUUGACAACUAGAAAAGAACAGAAUUUUUUUAUUGAAGAUGAUGGCUAAAGUUUCUUUCGUAUGUAUGUGACAGAAAAAAUGGGAACGUGUGCCUGAACUGAGCAUCCUUGAUGGAUCAGCUGAAUUUCAACAUAAUUGGAGUCUUGGAGACAUUACAAUGUAGGAUCCGGUGGUGAUAUAUGAUAAGGAAAGAGCGCAACUUGGUUGGAUCCGUGGAUCAUGUAGUAGGAGCCAUCCGUGGAUCAUUAGUAGGAGCCCUAAGUCUAUUAUGUCUUCCUUUCCAUGAUCAUUCUUACAUUUGAACCAUGAGCUGGACAUCCACUUAACCAUUGGCUGUAUCACUGAUGGAGUUGGAGAAAUUUACUGCUAAGCCUCGAGUCCUCAGAAUCACCAGUACUGUUGUCACUGAAGAAUGCCAAUUGCCAUCCAAAUAAGGCCUGUACUCAUAAGCCCAUUUGGCUGAAGAGAAGGAUGGAUGAGCAUGUAACAGAGGCUGGUAACAUGGCUACCUAUAUUCUCCUGUUCAUGGUGAAAUGUGGUCCAUAUUUUGCAUGAUACGAUGGAGUUCAUCUUGUAUGUUUGGCCUGAAUUAUCAUCUGGCAUUUAUUUGGAACAAAAAAAUUGGAUUCAAAUAGAUGUUUUUAGUGUUAAGCUAGAUUGGUUUAAUAGUUGAAUACUGCAACUAGGACAUGCCGGUAGCAUUGUGUUGGUCUUUUGUGAUUGUAAAUUUUCCAUGUGAGAAGUUCAUGUAAUUUGAUUAUAGUUUCAAAAGUGUGUGUAGUACACUGCAGGAUAUAUGUACCAGAUGAAUGAUACUAGUUGCAGAAACUAUAUUAUUCUCUGUUUCUGGCAUAGCGUUGACAGAACAACAGAAAUGCUUUAAGUGAACUAAAUUUUCUGAUGACCAACAAAAGAAAAUGCAAAUAUUUAACUUUCUGAUGACCUGUAAAAGAUAAUGCAGAUACUUUAUUUAAAUUUCA